AGUGAACGCUGGCGGUAGGCCUAACACAUGCAAGUCGAACGGCAGCACAGUAAGAGCUUGCUCUUACGGGUGGCGAGUGGCGGACGGGUGGGGAAUACAUCGGAAUCUACUUUUUCGUGGGGGAUAACGUAGGGAAACUUACGCUAAUACCGCAUACGACCUACGGGUGAAAGCGGGGGAUCUUCGGACCUUGCGCGAUUGAAUGAGCCGAUGUCGGAUUAGCUAGUUGGCGGGGUAAAGGCCCACCAAGGCGACGAUCCGUAGCUGGUCUGAGAGGAUGAUCAGCCACACUGGAACUGAGACACGGUCCAGACUCCUACGGGAGGCAGCAGUGGGGAAUAUUGGACAAUGGGCGCAAGCCUGAUCCAGCCAUACCGCGUGGGUGAAGAAGGCCUUCGGGUUGUAAAGCCCUUUUGUUGGGAAAGAAAAGCAGCAGGUUAAUACCCCGCUGUUCUGACGGUACCCAAAGAAUAAGCACCGGCUAACUUCGUG
rnacentral:rRNA from 1 species